AUUGAACGCUGGCGGCAGGCUUAACACAUGCAAGUCGAGCGGAGCGAAGGUGCUUGCACCUUAGCUUAGCGGCGGACGGGUGAGUAAUGCUUAGGAAUCUGCCUAUUAGUGGGGGACAACGUUUCGAAAGGAACGCUAAUACCGCAUACGUCCUACGGGAGAAAGCAGGGGAUCUUCGGACCUUGUGCUAAUAGAUGAGCCUAAGUCGGAUUAGCUAGUUGGUGGGGUCAAGGCCUACCAAGGCGACGAUCUGUAGCGGGUCUGAGAGGAUGGUCCGCCACACUGGGACUGAGACACUGCCCAGACUCCUACGGGAGGCAGCAGUGGGGAACAUUUGACAAUGGGCGAAAGCCUGAUCCAGCCAUGCCGCGUGUGUGAAGAAGGCCUUUUGGUUGUAAAGCACUUUAAGCGAGGAGGAGGAGCUUCAGGUUAAUACCCUGGAUGCUUGGACGUUACUCGCAGAAUAAGCACCGGCUAACUCUGUGCCAGCCGCCGCAGUAA
rnacentral:rRNA from 1 species